UUCAACUGUGAUGAGCCUUCAGACCUGUAAUGAUUUUCGGGUAUGAUCACAAUCAUCUAAGGAACCGAGUUAUG
rfam:Glycine max cultivar Williams 82 chromosome 19, whole genome shotgun sequence.